CAUAGAAGCACAGAGUAGAAUGGUGGUUGCCAGGGGCUGGGGAGGAGGAUAUGAGGAGAUGCUGGUCAAGGGUACAAACUGCCAGUUAGGAGAUG